UUAAAUCAGUGAUUUUUGGUUGCAGGGAAAAGCGAUGCCGUGGCACCAGCUUAGGAAUAACUCAAGUCACCUCUGCUGGAAAUCGGUUUGCUGAAACUACUGAAACAGCAAUUCUUGAAGUUGAAGAAAAGGAGGUUCUGUGCCUUGACCGGAGGAGUGUGGCCCUCUCUUCAAAACCCUCUCUGGACACGCCCUCCUAGCAUCCCCCGGGAAAGAUGCGGCAGCUCAAAGGGAAGCCCAAGAAGGAGACGUCCAAGGACAAGAAGGAGCGAAAGCAGGCCAUGCAGGAGGCCCGGCAGCAGAUCACCACGGUGGUGCUGCCCACGCUGGCCGUGGUCGUGCUCCUGAUUGUGGUGUUCGUGUACGUGGCCACGCGCCCCACCGUCACCGAGUGAGCCGCAGGCGGGGGAGAGCCGCGGAAACAUGGCUGGCGUUGUCAGAGAUUUUCCCGAUGCUGAGCUCUGAGCAGGAGCACCUGUCUUCUCUGCUCUUUGACUUGAUUAAAGUUUUUCCACUUUUCUUGGGAGGGAAUAGGGAGCGUUUUAUCAGUGAAUGUGCCAUACACCUUAUGGUCCACUUCAUGUGCCUUUCAGACUUCAAAGCAGUGUGUGUGUGUGUGUGUGUGUGUGUGUGUGUGUGUGUGUGUGUGUGUGUGUUUCUUUCUCUCUCCUAAAACCCAUGUGCAGCUCCCCCUGGUGAGAGGAGGGGCGUCAGGAUCAUGAAUGAGUUGGAAUCAGUGCUCACCCCACCCCCAUUGUUUCAAACAUGACUCUUUUCCGACAUGUGUCCACAAUUUCCAAAGGGACUGUAUUUCUUCUCUGUGCUUAAUGUGAUUUUAAAGAUGUCGACUCAAAAGUGAAAUAUUUAUUUUUCGAAUAAAGGAGAUAAUAGCCUUUAA